UAUUUAUAUAAAUAUAUUAAUAUUUUUAUUAUAAAAAAGUCAUAAAUAUUAAAAAAAAAUUACAUUUAAGCUCCCCUAAAAUUAAAAAAAAUUCAAUUUUAAGAAAAAUUACACUAAAACCUCUUAAAUUACAAAGAAACUCUCCAAAUUUAUAAAAAUAUUUCAUUUUAGUCCCCUAAAUUUAAGAAAAUUUGCAUUUAAUUCCCUUAAAAUUACAAAAAAAUCUCCAAAUAUUUAAAAAAAUACAUUUAUUCCCCUCUAAAAUUAUAAAAAUAAAAUAAAAAUUUAGCUCCCUCUCACCCAAAAGUUUGGUUUCGGCCCUUCUUUUAGAUAUGGUUAUCAUAUUACUAUAAUUUAUUUGCCCAUAUUUUUUUUAAUAUAGGAAAACUACUUUGGGAUUUUUCAAGUAUUUAUAACAAUUAUUUCAUUACAGUGGUGCUCAUUAAUCGGUCGCAGCUACUGUUGACACCAUGGGGUGUCCCGUCUUCUCUGAGCGAGAGGGGAGGUAGCGUCAGAUCUAAAGCUCGCCGGUUGGGGAAAGUCAAACUUUAGGCCUAGAAUGGAUUGGGGAUCAAGGUUUUUCAGAUCUAAUGGCUUUACAGGUGCUUUGGGUUUUGUCCAAUACUUAGAUCUGGCGUGUGGGAGGGGAGGCGAUCCUAAUCUUCUGGCGAUUGGACCUGUGGCUUAGGGCGGAGACAUCAGCGACGCUUCAGACAGGGGGGUGACGGGGGUUAGCCUUGCUUAGGUCGGAGAGGAAGAGAUCGAUUUAGCGAAUUGGAUCCAUGACGAGUCCGCUAUUUUGAUUGAGGGGGAGUCUUUUCCAGUACUGGUGGGAGAAUGAGGAUCAAAGAAAAGGAAUGCUUCUAUGUUUAGACCUAUUACUUUUAUUUUUCUGUUGUUAUAUGUUCUGUGUAUUUUAAUUUUGUCAUUUUACCAUCAAGAGUCUUACCGACAGGGUUCAUGCCUUCCAUAAUGGUUCUUCCCUGUUUGAGGUCCGGUUAUAUUUGUUAGGAAUAUAUUUUAGAGAAUCAUAAAUAUUUUCGUGCA